rnacentral:rRNA from 1 species
UACGUAGGGUGCGAGCGUUGUCCGGAAUUAUUGGGCGUAAAGGGCUCGUAGGCGGUUUGUCGCGUCGGGAGUGAAAUCCACUGGCUUAACUGGUGGCUUGCUUUCGAUACGGGCAGACUGGAGGUAUGCAGGGGAGAACGGAAUUCCUGGUGUAGCGGUGAAAUGCGCAGAUAUCAGGAGGAACACCGGUGGCGAAGGUGGUUCUCUGGGCAUGUCCUGACGCUGAGGAGCGAAAGUGUGGGGAGCGAACAGG